rnacentral:rRNA from 1 species
AUUGAACGCUGGCGGAAUGCUUUACACAUGCAAGCCGAACGGCAGCACGGACUUCGGUCUGGUGGCGAGUGGCGAACGGGUGAGUAAUACAUCGGAACGUGCCCAGUCGUGGGGGAUAACGUAGCGAAAGCUACGCUAAUACCGCAUACGAUCUACGGAUGAAAGCGGGGGAUCGCAAGACCUCGCGCGAUUGGAGCGGCCGAUGGCAGAUUAGGUAGUUGGUGGGGUAAAGGCUCACCAAGCCGACGAUCUGUAGCUGGUCUGAGAGGACGACCAGCCACACUGGGACGGAGACACGGCCCAGACUCCUACGGGAGGCAGCAGUGGGGAAUUUUGGACAAUGGGCGCAAGCCUGAUCCAGCCAUGCCGCGUGCAGGAUGAAGGCCCUCGGGUUGUAAACUGCUUUUGUACGGAACGAAAAGGCUCUGGUUAAUACCCGGGGCUCAUGACGGUACCGUAAGAAUAAGCACCGGCUAACUACGUGCCAGCCGCCGCGGUAAUAC